rnacentral:lncRNA from 1 species
UUUUGUUUUAUUUUUUUGUCCUUUUUUUUAGGGCUGCACCUGAGGCAUGGGGAAAUUCCCAGGCUAGGGGUCGAAUUGGAGCUGCAGCUGCCGGCCUAUGCCACAGCCCCACCAAUGCAGGAUCUGAGCCGCAUCUGCAACCUAAACCAUAGCUCACGGCAACAUUGGAUCCUUAACCCACCAAGUGAGGCCAGGGAUUGAACCCAAGUCUUCAUGGAUACUAGUUGGGUUCGUUACUGCUAAGCCAUGAUGGGAACUCCCAAUUCAGUUUUUUGUUUGUUUGUUUGUUUGUUUGUUUGUUUGUUUUUUAGUUGUAAGAUGAAAAUGCAUGGUAGGGACUUGGGGAAAUCAUUUUGCAGCCCUCACAUCUUGGACUCAACUCUAAAUCCUAGCAUCUCCCUGGACAUAUCACUUACUGUUUAUUCCCCCAGGCCUCUGGGCUUCGCCCGGGCUUUCACCUCUGAUGAAGAACCACUGUUCACCUACAGCAGUGAUUCUCAAACUUGACAAUGAGCUCAACCCCCCCACCACCACCACUGAGACGUCUUCAGACAGACUGACAGGCCCCUUUGCUGAGGCUGCUGCACCAGUGUGUCUGGGAUGGAGCCUGAGAAAGGAGAUCACUAAGAAGUACCAGGAGGUACCGAUGCAGUGGGUGGGGGUCUUGCCCCCCGCCCCUGCCCUACCGCCCAGUGAAAGCCUCUUCCCUCUAAAUCAAUAUACUUGGGUAAAAUAAAACAAUAAAAACCACCUUCCCUCCGCCUUUCCUUUUCUUCUCAGAUGCUACUUCUCUUUUAAAAUAUAAAACACCAGAGUUCCCUGGUGGUGCAGCAGGCUAAGGAUCCAGUGUUGUUACUGCAGUGGCUCACGUCACUGCUACGGCGUGGGCUCGAUCCAGUCCCUGGCCUGGGAACUUCUGCAUGCCACAGUGAGGCAAAACAAAAUAUAAUAUAUAUUUAAGAUUUAAUAUAUGUAUAUAAGAUUUCCUACCCUCUACACUUCUCUCCCCAAACGUACAAGGAUGGCUUUGCAUGUUCUCCAUACCUGCGUCCUGGUCUUUCUUUAUUUUUGUCUUUUUAGGGCUGCAUCCACAGCACAGGGAGGUUCCCAGGCUCGGGGUCGAAUUGGAGCUGUAGCUGUGUGCCACCGCCACAGCAACCCAGGAUCUGAGCCGUGUCUAUGACCUGCACCCCAGCUCACGGCAAAGCCAGAUCCUUAACCCACUGAGCGAGUCCAGGGAUGGAACCCACGUCCUCAUGGAUCCUAGUCGGGCUCGUGAACUGCUGAGCCGUGAUGGCAACUCCAUGCAUCCCAAUCUUUAGACUGGACUUCUCGGCCCUCAUGAUUAAUUUCCACAUCAGACUCUGCAGAACUGACAUCGUGGUUUGCUCACUAGGACUCUCCUCCCUGUUGUCUGUAUGCUGUAUGGGUCUCUCGGUGGUCAGGGCCUCUCACAGAUGAGGGUCUUGACAGAUCCAUAGUGGAUACACUCUAUCGGUCAGGCCAAGAGAAAACCCUUGUGGUCCAGGCAGAAGUCUGAAUCCCAUGAAAAGAUCCAGUGAUUCCCCCAAAUGUGGAGCUGGAAGUUGGGAGAAUGGUUGGCAGCCUGGGCAUAUCUUUGAAUUUGAUGUACGAAGCAUCAAAUGGCUUCUCUCCGUGGAGUGGGGACCAGAAGAGGCAUUCUGGUCCCAACACUGAGGUCUCAAUUUCAGAUCCAUCUCCGUCCCUCUGCCUCCUCCCCUUCCUCCUUCUUUUCUUCCUCCUCCCCAGUCCCCCUCUUCCUUCCUCUCUUCCUUGUCCUCUUCUUCCUUCUCCUCCUCUCCCUCCUCCUCUCCCUCCUCCCCCAUCCUCCCUCCUUCUCCCCCUCCCUCCUCUCCCUUCUCUCUCUCUGCACAUCUUUCCUCUUGCUCUUAAAAUUCUUAAUCCACCAUCUUCUCCCUUAUCUGCUCCUCCCGUUCCUCUUUCUCCUUCCCCUGAUUCACCUCUGAUCUGAGCCUGGAGGUAAAUCCUUGAGGUCUGCCACCUGUGGAAGGAGACCUAGAGCCCUGGCAGGUGGAGACAACCACGUGGCAGGUGUAUCCAUCAACAUGUUCACCCACAGGCUGGCUGCUCCUCUGUGGGUCUGGGGGUGGGUGUCGGCAGACUGGCUGAAGCCUCCCCAAUAACAAGGUGAGGAAGGACGGACCCUGGAGAGGCUGAUCCGGAGCCCCCCACCCGUCUCUGGCCCUGCCCAUCACAUGCAGCAUUCUCUCUUCACUGAAGAUUUGGUUUUAGGGCUUUUGCCUGGGGACUUGCACGGCAGCUCGCUGCUCCAAGAGGCUAGGGAGGAAGGGCUGCAGGGCUGGGCCAGGGGCUCUGUAGACAGUCUUUUGCCCUAUUUUUUAGUUUUUGCCCUGUUUCUUCUAUGUGCGAGGGCCAGCGUGGUCUCAGGAAGGUCUCUCCUGUCCGCUUCCUUCUAGGUUAGGGUUUCGUCCUGCUCACUUUUGCUGCUGUGCCCGUGUGUUUGCACCCCCCCCCCCACCCCAGUCUUCAGGGUCACCCUGCAUGUUUUCCUCCUUCCCACUGUGUCAAGACUCAUUCUCUUUCUAUCAUUUCUUUUCAUUCGGAGACAUUUUCCCUGGAAAGUGAGGUAAUGGACUGGUGGGGUGGAUUCCGUUCAAUCAGAGUGGGCAUAAGACUGUUUUUCUUUGAGAUAAAUGAGGGGGGCUGGAAUUGCUAAUUCAGUGAGGAUGUGCAUUUUAUGAAGGGGGCCGUGGAUUUUCACAGUGCCAUCCAGGAAGGGGUGCGUGUGCACAACCUCGAGCAGGGGGAGCGAAUUUAGCAACACUCACCCAUCCUGUGGAUUGACACUGACUGAGUCCUCCUGGUUGUCAAGAACAUCUAGUAGAAAAAAUGUGAAUCCCCUCUUCCCGAUGCUGAUGUUUUGGUGAGAGGAACUUAGGGUAAAGAACAAACCCAAUAUGAACUGCCAAGACAUGGAAGCAACCUAAGGGUCCAUCAACAGAGGAAUGGAUAAAGAAGAUGUGGUAUAUCCAAGCAAUGGAAUAUUACUCAGCCAUAAAAAAGAAUAAAAUAAUGCCAUUUGUAGCAACAUGGAUGGAGCCGGUGGGUAUUAUGCUAAGUGAAACAAGUCAGACAGAGAAAGAAAAAUACUGUAUGAUAUUAUGCACAUGUGCAACCUCAAAUCUAUAGCCAACGAGUGAAUAUGACAAAAAAGAAGCAGACUCACAGACAGAGAGAAGAAACUAGAGGUUAUCAGUGGAAGAGGUGGGGAGGGGCAUUAUAGAAGUAGGUGGCAAACUGAGAGAUAACUUGCUAUGUAUAAAAUACAUAAGUUACAAGGAUGUAGGGCACAAUAUGGAAAAUAAAACCAAUAACUCAAUGGAGAGCAAGUGUUACUAAUUGUAUAUAUUAAAAAAAGACAAACAAAAAACAAUACAAAAACCCUCCUGUUAAAUCCAAUAUGUAACUAACUAUGUUAUUACAAAUCCUGAUAAAAGUCAUGAGGUACAAAUCUUGGAUAUUAUAUUUUAAAAGUAAGCAUCUGGGAAGGACCUAUUCACAAAUGUGGACCACUACAUAUUUCAAAUUUUUCAAAAUUUUAUGGCAAAAAUUAUUUAAAAUUCUAAUUUUAGUUUGUCUACCUCU